AUUCUUAGUGGCGGACGGGUUAGUAACACGUGAGAAUCCUACCCUUGAGUGGGGAAUAGCCUUUCGAAAGGAAGAUUAAUGCCCCAUAGUCUCUACGGAGUAAAGAUGCCUUCGGGUGUCGCUUAAGGAUGGGCUCGCGGCCUAUCAGCUAGUUGGUGAGGUAAGAGCUCACCAAGGCAACGACGGGUAGCUGGUCUGAGAGGACGAUCAGCAACACUGGAACUGAGACACGGUCCAGACACCUACGGGUGGCAGCAGUCGAGAAUCAUUCACAAUGGACGAAAGUCUGAUGGUGCAACGCCGCGUGGAGGAUGACGGCCCUAGGGUUGUAAACUCCUGUCAUCAGGGAGUAAGACUUAUUCGUUAAUAGCGUGUAAGUUUGAUAGUACCUGAAGAGGAAGGGACGGCUAACUUCGUGCCAGCAGCCGCGGUAAUACGAAGGUCCCAAGCGUUGUUCGGAAUAACUGGGCGUAAAG
rnacentral:rRNA from 1 species